rnacentral:rRNA from 1 species
AUUGAACGCUGGCGGCAGGCCUAACACAUGCAAGUCGAACGAGUGGCGGACGGGAGAGUAAUGUCUGUGAAACUGCCCGAUGGAGGGGGAUAACUACUGGAAACGGUAGCUAAUACCGCAUACCAUCGGAUGUGCCCAGCUGGGAUUAGCUGGUAGGUGGGGGAACGGCGCACCUGGGCGACGAUCCCUAGCUGGUCUGAGAGGAUGACCAGCCAAACUGGAACUGUGACACGUGCCAGACUCCUACGGGAGGCAGCAGUGGGGAAUAUUGCACAAUGGGCGCAAGCCGGAUGCAGCCAUGCCGCGUGUAUGACGAAGGCCUUCGGGUCGUAAAGUACGUUCAGCGAGGAGGCGUUACUCGCAGAAGAAGCACCGGCUAACUCCGUGCCAGCCGCCGCGGUAAUUC